CUCUCUUCUGAGUGUGAACCUCUUUUGCCUGAGACGAAUUGUCUUCUUUAACUGAUUUGACUGUAUCGGGUGAAUAAGCACCGGCUAACUCCGUGCCAGCAGCCGCGGUAAUACGGGGGGUGCGAGCGUUGUCCGGAAUCACUGGGCGUAAAGGGCGCGUAGGUGGCCUGAUAAGGGUGUGGUGAAAGUCCGGGGCUCAACCCCGGAUCGGCCGUGCCGACUGUUAGGCUAAAGUAUUGUAGGGGC
rnacentral:rRNA from 1 species